rnacentral:rRNA from 7 species
GACCCCAGGUCAGGCGGGAUUACCCGCUGAAUUUAAGCAUA